rnacentral:tRNA from 1 species
GGACUGAAGCUUAGUGGUAGAGCAUUUGCCUAGCGUGUACAUGGCUGUGGGUUCAAUCCCCAGUAGCACA